rnacentral:lncRNA from 1 species
UUCUUUGGAAGAAAGAGAGAUGGAAAAGAAAAGGGGGUUUUGAGAUUUUGUGAAAGAAAGAGGUUAGAAUGUAGAAAUUGAAGAGUUUUUAGCUUAAGGUCCCUCCAUUUUAGUACACAAAGCAAACAAAAGUUUGUGACUUUCUUUCUUGUUGUUUCUGUGAUUUUAUUUGUGAAAGAAAGAAAUAGUCUUUUCUCUCUUCUCUCUUCUCUCUUUCUCUCUGCACAAUAAAGAAGAAAUUUUUUUAGAAAAAGUGAAAUAAAAAUGGUUUUAUCUUUUUGAUAUGGAUAAUAAUAAUAAUAUUCUCUCUCUCUCUCUCUCUCUCUGAUAUUUAGGCAGUUUGCUUUUUAUACUUGUCCGAUCAAUACGAGGUUCUCAUCUAAUGGUUGUGGUUGUUUUAGAUUAUUAUAUCUGACCGUUGGAUUUAUUCUAUUGGUAUUUGAUUUAUGUAUUUUUUAUUUUUAUUUUUUUUAUAAAUAAAAAUAUAUUAAAGCCAAAAAUUUACUUUUUGCUCUCCAAGGUUAUUUUCAUGUGUGGUAGACUUGUGAAUUCUAAACUAUAGUUCAAUAAUUUGUACUUGUAAAUAUAAUUUGAUUACCAACAAAACAAAAAUGUACUUGUAAAUAAUUUGUCGCUUAAAUGAUCUGGAUAUGGCUCACCCUUUCUUUAUUGGUUCAAUUAAUAAAACUAUUAUCAAUUAAUUACCCUUUCUGGAAAAAAAAAACUAUUGGUAAACAAUUUUUUCAAUGUUAUUUAUUUAUUGAUACAAAGAAAUGAAGAAUUACUCUUAAAAUUUAUUUAUUUAUUUUUAAAUAUGUGGAAAUUCUUCACAUCUACUAAAAACCUUGAAAGCAUUCAUGCCCGAGCAUUUUAUAUUGUAGUCAUUCUCCACUUCCAACAUUUACUUAAUUUAGUGAUUGAUUCUUAAUUUAGUUUAAUCUUGAAAUUUACUCAUACUUAAUACUUAGUACUAGAAUGUAUUUUUGACCUUAUUGGGUAAGAUAUGACAUAAUACUGUGGCGUUAUAAAUGAAAAAAAUGUAGAGAAAAAUAUGGGCAAACCGUGGAAAAAGAGGGGAAUGGCAUUGAUGUAAGGAGCAGGAAAUGGGGGGCAUUAAUGGGAGGGAAGAAAGGAAAAUAGGAAAUGAAGGAGAUGGAUGAUAAUAUGGGGGACAUAACAAAACAUGGAAAGAGAAAUAAAACUAAAGGGAGACAAGAAAGCGGCACUUUUCUAGUUGGCUUGCCGGGUGGGGAACGGGACACCCACACCUUACCUUCUUCUUCUUCUUCUUCUUCUCUCUCUU